rnacentral:rRNA from 1 species
AAACUCAAAGGAAUUGACGGGGGCCCGCACAAGCGGUGGAGCAUGUGGUUUAAUUCGACGCAACGCGAAGAACCUUACCUGGGCUCGAAAUGUUGUGGACCGGGGUAGAAAUAUCCCUUCCCCGCAAGGGGCUGCAAUAUAGGUGCUGCAUGGCUGUCGUCAGCUCGUGUCGUGAGAUGUUGGGUUAAGUCCCGCAACGAGCGCAACCCUUAUCUCCAGUUGCCAUCAUUCAGUUGGGCACUCUGGCGAAACCGCCUCGGAUAACGGGGAGGAAGGUGGGGAUGACGUCAAGUCCUCAUGGCCUUUAUGUCCAGGGCUACACACGUGCUACAAUGGCCGGUACAAACCGUCGCAAACCCGCGAGGGGGAGCUAAUCGGAAAAAGCCGGCCUCAGUUCGGAUCGCAGUCUGCAACUCGACUGCGUGAAGCUGGAAUCGCUAGUAAUCGCGGAUCAGAACGCCGCGGUGAAUACGUUCCCGGGCCUUGUACACACCGCCCGUCACAUCACGAAAGUGGGUUGCACUAGAAGCCGGUGCGCUAACCGCAAGGAUGCAGCCGUCCAAGGUGUAAUUCAUGAUUGGGGNGAAGUCGUAACAA